AACGUAGGAGGCUAGCGUUAUCCGGAUUUACUGGGCGUAAAGCGCGUGCAGGCGGUGGUGCACGUUGGGCGUGAAAUCUCCUGGCUUAACUGGGAGGGGCCGUCCAAUACGGCAUCACUCGAGGGCAGGAGAGGGAAGCGGAAUUCCCGGUGUAGCGGUAAUAUGCGCAGAUAUCGGGAGGAACACCAGUGGCGAAGGCGGCUUCCUGGCCUGUACCUGACGCUAAGACGCGAAAGCUAGGGGAG
rnacentral:rRNA from 1 species